GAAUUCACUAGUGAUUCAGGCCUAACACAUGCAAGUCGAGCGGUAGAGAGAAGCUUGCUUCUCUUGAGAGCGGCGGACGGGUGAGUAAUGCCUAGGAAUCUGCCUGGUAGUGGGGGAUAACGUUCGGAAACGGACGCUAAUACCGCAUACGUCCUACGGGAGAAAGCAGGGGACCUUCGGGCCUUGCGCUAUCAGAUGAGCCUAGGUCGGAUUAGCUAGUUGGUGAGGUAAUGGCUCACCAAGGCGACGAUCCGUAACUGGUCUGAGAGGAUGAUCAGUCACACUGGAACUGAGACACGGUCCAGACUCCUACGGGAGGCAGCAGUGGGGAAUAUUGGACAAUGGGCGAAAGCCUGAUCCAGCCAGGCCGCGUGUGUGAAGAAGGUCUUCGGAUUGUAAAGCAAGGGAAGUUGGGAGGAAGGGCAGUUACCUAAUACGUGAUGUUUUGACGUACCGACAGAA
rnacentral:rRNA from 1 species